rnacentral:misc_RNA from 1 species
AAGUCGUAACAAGGUUUCCGUAGGUGAACCUGCGGAAGGAUCAUUAACACGUAUUCAACGUAAAAAACCCCCUGUGAACAUUCAAACCUGCUCUCGUAGCCCAGUGCGAUCCAGCAAUCCCGGUAAAUCAGUAUUGAUCGGGACUUCUGACAAAUGAGAAGUUACAGUUACGAUUGAGCGGAGAUAGAUGCGUCAUUGAUUGUCUAAGGAUCUCGCCUCAACGAUUGCCAGAGGUCGCUCACCGACCGGCAGACAUGCAACCGGGUCCCCACGCCCCUUUACAACCCCAUUACCUCUGUGAGUCGCGGGAAACUAGCGCUAAAAAACCUCGAACAACUGUUAAUGAUAUCUUGGUUCUC